AUUGAACGCUGGCGGCAUGCUUUACACAUGCAAGUCGAACGGCAGCGCGGGCUUCGGCCUGGCGGCGAGUGGCGAACGGGUGAGUAAUGCAUCGGAACGUGCCCAGUAGUGGGGGAUAGCCCGGCGAAAGCCGGAUUAAUACCGCAUACGACCUGAGGGUGAAAGCGGGGGACCGAAAGGCCUCGCGCUAUUGGAGCGGCCGAUGUCGGAUUAGCUAGUUGGUGGGGUAAAGGCUUACCAAGGCGACGAUCCGUAGCUGGUCUGAGAGGACGACCAGCCACACUGGGACUGAGACACGGCCCAGACUCCUACGGGAGGCAGCAGUGGGGAAUUUUGGACAAUGGGGGCAACCCUGACCCAGCCAUGCCGCGUGCGGGAAGAAGGCCUUCGGGUUGUAAACCGCUUUUGUUCGGGAAGAAAUCCUUUGGGCUAAUACCCCGGGGGGAUGACGGUACCGGAAGAAUAAGCACCGGCUAACUACGUG
rnacentral:rRNA from 1 species